rnacentral:lncRNA from 1 species
CCUGGGCUCAAGUGAUCCUCCCACAUCAGCCUCCAGAGUAACUGGGACCACAGGCACACAUCACCACGCUCAGCUAAUUUUUGUAUUUUUUUGUAGAGAUGGGGUUUCACCAUAUUGGCCAGGCUGAUCUUGAACUCGUGGGCUGAAGCAAAUCACCCACCUCAGCUUCCCAAAAUGCUGGGAUUACAGGCAUGAGCCACAGUGCCUGGCCUAAAAUACUCUUAAAUGAUGCACCCUCCAUACAUAGAAAAUCUUCCUAGAAGUAAUAUCAUCCUAUAUAAUGAGAUGAGGGUUAAGCUGGUGAUAAAGUUAGGCAUAAGUAGGGCAUCACCCUAAAUCCCGAGUUAAGAGGAGUUUGCUGUAGUUUGGGGAGCAUAUUGAAAACACAUUGUUGGCUGUGGGCGGCAAGCCAUCCAGGUGCUGAGGCAAGAGACCGAGGGCACGAGCUGUUCCAGUAUAAUAAAAUAUAUAAAACAACAAGAGUUAUACUAGAUCUAGAUCACAGACAUGAUUAUAUAUGAAUAUCAUUAAUCAUUAGUUAUCCGGAGGCCUAACCGUCUCCCUGUGGUGCUGUGCUUCAGUGGUCACGCUCCUAGUCUGCCUUCAUGUUCCAUCCUGUACACCUGGCUCUGCCUUUUAGAUAACAGUAGCAAAAUUAGUGAAAGUACUAAAAGUCUCUGAUACGCAGAAAUAAUGGCGUAAGCUGUCUCUCUCUCUCCCUGUCUAUCUCUGCCUUGGCUGCCAGGCAGGGAAGGGCCCCCUGUCCAGUGGACACGUGACCCACGUGACCUUACCUGUCAUUGGAGAUGACUCACACUCUUUACCCUGCCCCUUUUGCUUUGUAUCCAAUAAAUAACAGUGCAGCCAGACAUUCGGGGCCUCUACCGGUCUCCGCCUCUUGGUGGUAGUGGUCCCCCAAGCCCAGCUGUCUUUUCUUUUACCUCUUUGUCUUGUGUCUUUAUUUCUACAAUCUCUCGUCUCCGCACAUGGGGAGAAAAACCCACCGACCCUGUGGGGCUGGUCCCUACAGUUGGCCGGGCACGGUGGCUCACACUUGUAAUCCCAGUACUCUGGGAGGCAGAGGUGGGUGGAUUACCUGAGGUCAGGCCUUCAACACCAGCCUGGCCAACAUGGCAAAACCCCGUCUCUACUAAAAAUACAAAAAUUAGCCAGGCAUGGUGGCGCACACCUGUAAUCCCAGCUACUCAGGAGGCUGAGGCAGGAGAAUUGCUCCAACCCAGGAGGCAGAGGUUGCAGUGAGCCAAGAUCACGUCACUGCACUCCAGCCUGGGCGACAGACCGAGACUCAGUCUCAAAAAAAAAAGAAGAAAAAAAAAAAGAAAAUACAUUGUCAAGACUCAAAUCACAGAGUGGUGUUUCACAUGAUGGUAGAGACUGCUGAUUGCCCUCUUGAACCCAGCUUCCAUUUCUUCUUUUUCUUAUUUAUUUAUAUUUUGAGACGGAGUUUCUCUCUUGUUGCCCAGGCUGGAGUACAAUGGAGCAAUCUUGGCUCACUGCAACCUCUGCCUCCCAGGUUCAAGCAAUUCUCCUGCCUCAGCCUCCUGAGUAGCUGGGAUUACAGGCAUGAGCCACCAUGCCCGGCUAGUUUUUUUUUUUUUUUUUGUAUUUUCAGUAGAGAUGGGGUUUCUCCCUGUUGGUCAGGCUGGUCUCGAACUCCCAACCUCAGGUGACCCACCCACCUUGGCCUCCCAAAGUGCUGGAAUUAUAGGCGUGAGCCACUGUGCCCGGCCUUUGCCAGGUAUCUUGACUAGAGGAAGAUAGUGUUCUGGGUGGGAGACUCAAGAGGUCUGGUUACUGAAGAUACAGAUCUCACUUAAAGUAAGUAAAUUGACAUCUGGUUUCCAAAUCAAUCUAUUAUGAAAUUGGCCCAUGUCACUUUCAUUUGGCCUGAUCAAGUUUUUACUGAGAACUGAAUUGGGCACAGUGGCUCACACCUGUAAUCCCAGCACCUUAGGAGGCUAAGGCGGGAGGAUCACUUGAGUCCAGGAGUUUGAAAACAGCCUGGGCAACAUAACAAAGUCCCAUCUCCACAAAAAAUACAAACAUUAGCCCAGGAAGCUGAAGCAGGAGGAUCAUUUGAGCCCAGGAGAGCACAUCUCAGAGCCUGCUACAGGUAAACAGGCCAGAAGUUAAAUGCAUGAAACAAAUUAAAUGCAUGAAACAUUCAAGCACAUUCUUAUUGGUGUAAUUAAAAUAAAAAAGUAAAUGCAUGAAACAGAAGCUGUUUACCCACAGCAGAGGAGGGGCAGAAAUCAUAUCCAGUGUGCCAUAUCAUUACUGCCUGCCAGCAUUUCCUUAGGCUAUUUCAUUUAUUUACUUUUUUUGAGAUGGAGUCUCGCUCUGACUCCCAGGCUGGAGUGCAGUGGCAUGAUCUCCACUCACUGCAACCUCCACCUCCCAGGUUCAACCAAUUUUCCUGCCUCAGCCUCCCAAGUAGCUGGGAUUACAGGUGCCAGCCACCAUGACUGCCUAAUUUGUGUAUUUUUAUUAAGAGCAGCUAGUUUUUAAUGAAUCUUAGCCCAGAAUACAAAGCAGGGUGUAGCAGUUGCCUUAAUGGUGAUAUAAUUGUAAACAAUAGCUUUUUC